rnacentral:rRNA from 1 species
GAUGAACGCUAGCGACAGGCUUAACACAUGCAAGCCGAGGGGCAGCAUGAUUUGUAGCAAUACAGAUUGAUGGCGACCGGCGCACGGGUGAGUAACGCGUAUGCAACUUGCCCUUUACUCGGGGAUAGCCUUUCGAAAGAAAGAUUAAUACCCGAUAGCAUAAUGAUUCCGCAUGGUUUCAUUAUUAAAGGAUUCCGGUAAAGGAUGGGGAUGCGUUCCAUUAGGUUGUUGGUGAGGCAACGGCUCACCAAGCCUUCGAUGGAUAGGGGUUCUGAGAGGAAGGUCCCCCCACAUUGGAACUGAGACACGGUCCAAACUCCUACGGGAGGCAGCAGUGAGGAAUAUUGGUCAAUGGGCGCUAGCCUGAACCAGCCAAGUAGCGUGAAGGAUGAAGGCUCUAUGGGUCGUAAACUUC